rnacentral:tRNA from 1 species
GGCACCAUGGUGUAGUGGUUAUCAUUAUCACAUCUGCCUAACACGCAGAAGGUCCCCAGUUCGAGCCUGGGUGGUGUCA